rnacentral:misc_RNA from 1 species
AUUAAAUGGUACUUCCAAUAUGUCA